rnacentral:tRNA from 1 species
GGGGGCGUAGCUCAGUUUGGUUAGAGCGCCGGCCUGUCACGCCGGAGGUCGCGAGUUCGAGUCUCGUCGUCCCCGCCU